UACGCCCGAGACCUAUCCUCCUAUAUAAAGGACUAGAAGGGGGAGCCGGGGAGGACAGAUCAUAUUCUCUGUUAGAGGGAUCCACAGAGCUCAUCUCUCAUACAUGACUCCAUAGCAACCUUGUAAUCUCUCCAUCAAUACAGAUCAGACAAACAGGACGUAGGGGUACCUUCUGAACCUGAGUAAAUGGUAUCCCUUGUGUCCUUAUUAGCCGACGGAUCGUCAACACACACCAUGCUCUUCCUAAUCGAAAGCUUAGUUUGGGUAUGCUGAGAUAGCCCCUCGUCACCCGUCAUUUUCGGUUUUGUCAAAAUUUAUCCCUUGACCGCAGGCAAGAGACGAGAGCGCUGUUAAGUUUAUUUAUUUAUUUGAAAGAAGAGGGAUGCUAAGUUGUCAGUUCCGAUGUGUGCAUCCAUGCAUUGCCUGGAUGAUUCGUGGGCCUAGCCAGGCGCUGGCCAUUUAAGCAAGAUAUGAUUAGCAUGUAUAAGCAUAGGUUAAUUCUGAAGCAUGAUACCCUAGUGCCUGCAUGCUUUUCUUAGCAGUGUAUCUGAAGAUGAUCGAAAAUGCGGCUUGAUAACUAAUCUUUUGUUUUUAACACGCAAAUCUUCAAUGGACAAUUUGGUCAGUUUGAAUCAAAGAGUCCAGUACCAGUUAUGUGCUUAAUAUAUAGCCGAAUUUUGAUUAAACAACGGUCACGUCCCAUAGCGUGUUUAUUAAUUAAAGUUUUUUAGAUCAACAGGAACUCCCUCCCGGCUUCAUUUUAUUAAAAUGAAACCAACCAUGCCAGUGUCGGGGCCCCUUCCCCUUUUUAAAAAAAAAAAAAACACGCCAGUGUUUAUUAUUUACUUAAUCCAUUAAUCCAAGACUUCAUGGAUGUGGUUUGCUAACUAUUCACUUGCUGAUAACACAGAAAGACAUGACGGUGGAUGUGUCGUUCCAUCACACUUGAUGCGCAGAUGCGGCUGCGAAUCUUCUUUAGUGGGGUACUUUCUCCUUAGCCUCGACGAGUUCCAACAUCACCAACAACACCGGGUCACUCUCGUACCAAUUUGUCCCACACACUACGCGAACAAGCACGGGCAUUGCUGAGACUUAGACGAGAAGAUCGGCAAAGCUUGAUUUCCGGUGCCUCUCAUACCCACACACCCAUAUGCCCAUGGGAACUCAAGCUUGCCAUCAUAUAUAGGAAAAAAAAAAUCAAUACACAGAUGCAUUCUCGUAAGAUUGUUCGUCUCGGUACGUGUAGUUUUCUGGCACAAUGUGGAUCGGGUUGUUUUUCAUUUGGGUUGUCUUGCCUUGGCUUUAUAUACACACAAAGGUUGAUGAUUGGGCAUGCUCAAUCCUUAAUUUGUGUUCCAUUUAGUACAGCUUGCGUAUAUAUAAAGUCAUUGGAUACUUUUUCACUUUUAUUUUCGUUUUUCGUUCACACUGAGACGACGGC
rnacentral:lncRNA from 1 species